CACAGAACAACUUCUGUUUUCUCAUUUUCAAGAAAAGAGAAAAUGAUAGACCUAUCUGUCUAACAGAUUUGUGAGGUUUGAAUGAGAUAAAGGAAUUAAUAUUGCUUUGAAAAAGUGUCAAUUUGCCAGAUAAAUAUACAUUUCUAUGAUUAUUGUGUUAUUAAUCCAGACCUCUUUGUCAUAUUUGGGACAAUAGUCAUUCAGCUAAAGGCUCAGUUUCCAGAGUCCAAUUGCCUAGUUCCUUCACAUCCUUGUUCUCCUUAUGGACAGAGUAGACUUUACCAAGUGACUUUACUUUUCUGUACCUCAUUAGAUAAUGAUACCUGAAUCAUAAGGUUAUUGGGAGAACUAAAUGAAGUAAUAUAUAUAUUUUUAAAGCCCUGAGAACAUAAGACUAAAAAGUUGUUUUAUUGUUUUUGUUGUUACUGUUGUUAUUAUUAGCCCAUGAUCCAGCCAUAAUAAUAAUACUUGAACAUAUUCUUUUUUGUUCCACUCAAAUUCUUGUGAUGUAAACUUUAGCCAGCGACAAAAGAGAAGCUGUUAAAAUUGGCUCUCCAAAUAGGUUUUAAAAACAUACUUCUUAUUUGCCUGCAUAGUACUGAACUCUUUUUCAGCAAUAGAUGCCUCAACAGAAAAAUGGAAAUCUGAAGUAAAAUUCAUUAUGGCUGUUCCAGAAAAUACACAUUUCUUCCUCCAAAUGGUUAGUGAAUGAAUUAUUUGUUUCCUGGGAAGUAACUUUAAAAUUAGGGCAAUUCUAACCUUGUGGCCUAUAUCUAUAAAUGAAUGUGAGGUUAAUUUGUUCUUUGCAAGUUUCUAAUUUUAACCAAAACUGUACCAUCUAGGAAAGGUAGGCAAAUCAAGAAAAUUGAAACACGGUUAAGGAGUAAUUUUGAUGAAAUGUAGUCACCUCAUUAGCUGUUGUCCUCUAGUCUAUUGAUAGGUAGAUCAGGAUUAUCUGACUUUCUGCUGAGACAGGAAAUCUACCAAUGUAGAUUUCUCUCACGUUAAAUACGUAUUUUUUCCCAAAUCAACUUUCUUUUCCUAAAAAUUUGCACCUCCUCCAUGUACUUGAGAGUGGAAAGGGCUGACAUCUUGGGAAUUAUUUAAAUUUUUCAAGAGUAUAGGAAAUCACAUUUCAACUUUCCACUGGCAAAAAAUCUAACUUGUAUUUUCAGUUCUAAAUAAAGGAAGAUUUUUUAAAGAUGUACAUUUAAUUUCACUGUUGAUAGCAGUGCAAAUCUAUCCAGUUGUAAAAGAGGGAGCAUUUAGAAUAGUGGACAAUGGUAAUUGAUCAAAAAAGUUAUGGUCACAGGUAAGUAAGAUGAGAAAGUAACAACCUAAUUGAAAAUUAUAGAGGCCAACUCUCUAGUUUCCAACAAGUAAGAAGAAAAACCUUAUCUUUUUUGGUGACUUACAAGUGUUUCUUUCAUUGAAUCAAAGGAGGGGAGGAAAGAUGAAAUUCUUAAUUAAUCAUGUAAUUGUGUUGUAAUAUUUAGUUACUAGGCUUUAUCUGUUAAGAUUUAGAAAUAAAAAUAAAAGACUACAAUUAUAAUAGCAUAGGUUUAUUUAAAUAUUUCUAAAAUGCUCUUAAGUUUGUAAACUCACAGAAAAUUUUAGACACACAGGUAUACCUCAGAGAUAUCAAGGGUUUGGUUCGAUACUGAAUAUCAUAACAAAAAUAAGUUAUAGAAUUUUUUUUUGUUUUCACAGUGCAUAUAAAAUUAUGUAUAUACUAUACUGUAGUCUAUUACAUGUGCAAUAAGAUUAUGUCCAAAAAAUAGACAUAUCAUACUUUAAAAAGUACUUUAGUGCUAAAAAAUGCUAAUAAUCUUCUGAGCCUUCAGUGAGUGAUAAUCUUUUUGCUGGUGGGGGGUCUUGCCUCAGUGUUGAUGGCUGCUGACUGAUUAGGGUGGUGGUAGCUUGAAGGUUGCAGUGGCUAUGACAAUUUCUUAAAACACCAUAACAACAAAGUUUGCUGGAUUGAUGGACUCUUUCUUUCAUGAAAGAUUUCUCUCUGGUAUGUGAUGCUGUUUGAUAGCAUUUUACCCACUGUAGAAAUUCUUUUGAAACUAGAGUCAUUGCUUUAUCAACUAAGUUUAUGGAAUAUCCUAAAUCCUUUGUCAAAAUAAUGACCUAAACAGUGUUCACAGCAUCUUGGUCAGGAGUAGAUUCCAUUCCAUAAAACCACAUUCUUUGCUCAUUCAUAAAAAGUGAAUUCUCAUCCAUUAAAGUUUUAUCAUGAGAAUGCAGCAAUUCAGUCACAUCUUUAGGCUUUACUUCUAAUUCUAGCUCUCUUGAUAAUUCUUCCAUAUCUGCAGUUACUUUCUCCACUGAAAUUUUGAACCCCUUAAAGUCAUCCAUGAGGGUUGAAAUCAGCUUCUUUCAAACUCGUGUUAAUAUUGAUGAUAUUUUGACCUCUUCGCAUGAAUCAGGAAUGUUAUUAAUGGCAUCUAGAAUAGUGAAUCCUUAUUAGAAAGUUUUUAAUUUACUUUGCCCAGAUCCAUCAGAGGAGUCAUUAUCUAUAGCAGCUAGAGCCUUAUAAAAAGUAUUACUUAAAUAAUUAGGCUUAAAGUUGACAUUGUUCCUUGAUCUAUGGGCUACGAAAUGGAUGUUGUGUUAGCAGGCAUACAAACGACAUUAAUCUUCUAGUGCAUCUGCAUCAGAGCUCUUGAAUGACUAGGUACAUUGUCCAUGAGCAGUGAUACUCUGAAAGAAAUAUUUUCUGAGUAGUAGUUCUCAACUGUGGGCUUAAAAUAUUCAGUAAACCAUGCUGUAAACAGAUAUUUUGUAAUCCAAGCUUUGUUGUUCCAUUUAUAGGGCACAGGCAGAGUAGAUUUAGCACAAUUCUUAAGGCUCCUAGGAUUUCUGCAAUGGUAAAUUGAGCCUUGUCUUCAACUCAAAGUCACCAGCUGCAUUAGCCCCUAACAAGACAGUAAACCUGUGUUUUGAAGCUUUGAAGCUAGGCACUGACUUCUCCUCCCUAGUUGCAAAAGCCCUAGAUGGCAUCUUCCUCCAAUGUAGAUGUAAAGUUGUUUCAUCUACAUUGAAAAUCAGUUGUUAGCAUAGCCACCUUCAUCGAUGAUCUUAACUAGGACUUCUGGAUAACUUGCUGCAGCUUCUCCAUCAGCACUUCCUACUUUACCUUACACUUUUAUGUUACUGAGAUGGUGUUUUUCCUUAAACUUCAUGAACCAACUUUUGCUAGCUUCUAACUUUUCUUCUGCAGCUUCUUCACAUCUAUCAGACUUCACAGAAUUGAAGAGAGUUAGAAUCUUGCUCUGGAUUAGGCUUUGGCUUUUAAGGGAAUGUUGAGACCGGUUUGAUCUACUCAAACUACUGAAAUUUUUCUCCACAUCAUAAAUAAGGCUAUUUUGCUUUUUUAUUAUUAAUAUGUUCACUGGGGUAGCACUUUUAAUUUCCUUCAAGAACUUUUCCUUUGCAUUUACAACUUGACUAACUGACACAUAAGGCUUAGUUUUUGGUCCAUCUCAGCUUUUGUCAUGCCUUCCUCACUAAGCUUAAUCAUGUCUACCUUUGAUUUAGAGUGAGAGAUAUGCAACUCUUUCACUUGAAUACUUGGAGGCCAUUGUAGUGUUUUUAAUUGGCCCGAUUUUAAUGUUGUUGUAUCUUAGGGAACAGGGAUGUCUAAGGAAAGGGAGAGAGAUAGAGGAAUGGGCAGUCAGUGGGGUGGUCAGAACACACACAAUAUUUAUCUAUUAAGUUUUCUAUCUUACAUGGGUAUGGUUUGUGAUGCCCCAAAGUAAUUACAAUAGUAACGUCGAAGAUCACUGAUCCAGAUUAUCAUAGCAGAUAUAAUAAGAAAACAUUUGAAAUAUGGUGAGAAUUACCAAAAUGUGACACAGAGACACAAAGGGAGCUCAUGUUGUUUGAAAAAUGGCACCCAAGGAAUUGCUAGUCACAAGGCUGCUAUAAUUCCUUCAAUUUGUUAAAAAAAGUAAUAUCUGUGAAGUAAAAUUUAAAUAAAAAUGAAGCACAAUAAAAUGAGAUAUGCUUGUAUACACUUUUCAGAAUAUUGUCUGUGACAUCUCUGCAUUCAGCAUAGAGAAAAGACAGCUUAUAAUAUUUAUUAAUUUUUUUAGCACAAAAAUGUCAUCUAUUAUUCCUUUUUUUUUGAGAUAAAUUAUUUCAUUAAUCCAUCUACCACAAUGUUUCAGAAGUCAAGCAGGUAUGUCAAGAAUAGGAUAGGUGAAAAGGUAGUCACUGAAGGAACUUCAAUGGCAGGAGAAAGAAGGAGAGCUCUCUCUAUGAGCAUUGCAGAACCUGCUGAUUUUACAAAUAUGGCAGCUAUGCCUCAGCAAAUUAUAAGCAAUAAUGAAUUAGUUAAUUUUCUUCUGUGAAAACUGCUAUGGCCCUCAGUGGAUUGUAUCAUGCCUGCCCACCUUGAUGAAGGUGACCUUCCCUACUCAAUCUACCAACUCAAAGGCUAAUUUCUUCUAAAACACCCUUACAGGCACACCCGGAAAUAAUGUUUUACCAGCUAUCUGGGCAUCCCUUAGCCCAGUCAAGUUGAUGCAUUAAGUUAAUCAUCACAUCUUCCUAUUGCUGGGAGCUGCUCCUUCAGCCUGGAUCCUGUAAUGAAGAAGACGUGAGAAACAAAGAAGAACAACACCUGACACACCAGAGUUCCAGAGUUUGAAUGUAUUUCUUUACAUGAAGAGGACCUAGGGAUGAAAAAGUGAAUUCAGUUUUGUUUUAUAAUUUCUCACCUCUCAGCACAUCAGAAGUAAAUAUUGGCCCUGCACACUUGGAUCCUUCUAAGCAGUGGAUGCUUCUGUCAGGCUGAGACUAAGCUUUGUAGAAGAGGAGGAAGACAAGAGCUACCAUCUGGAGAGCAGAACGUUUUGGGAAGCCAUCAAAGGCAAAGAACCUAAGAAUCCAGGAAGAUCUUGAACUAUUACCCUUUACUUUAAUUUUUAAUCAUGGAAAUAUUUGCUUGGAAAAGAGACUGUGUCUACAAUGGCAACCAUUUUUAUAUUCAGAAAUUUGCCAUGUAAAAUAAUUGAAUGUCAGAUGAAGAACUGCCUGUCAUAUUUUGCUAUUAAAAUAAUAUAUUUUUAUGCAUAACCUGACCUGCCUUUGUGAGUUACUGUAGCCUGUGGUCUCUCUGCAAGAUUUUCCAAUGGGAUUUUUAAUAAUAUUCCGAUGUUUGCCAUCUUAAGCAGUGCAAGCUGUUAAACUCAAUUUGUGAAAAAAAAAAAAUCAGGUAUAAAACCAGAUAAUCUGUAUCCCUUUGGAAUCAAAAGUCACUUUGCCAAAAUAUUUUAACACGCAAAAUUGCUUCUUGAGAGAUGUUUGUCAUGAUAAAAUGACAGAAAACUACAUUUCCAUUAUAAUUAUAACUGACUCGUGGUGCUAAGUUUUUAUAAUUUAAAGGUAUUCUCAACUCUGACAGCCCUUCCAUGUUGAAUUAUGCAUCUCAGGCUCUUAAAUAGUUCUGCUGGCACGAGACAGCUGAGAUGAAGUUGUCUUUCUAAAAUAAUUGCUCCAUGGAGCAUCCAUUAUACCUUCAGAAAAAAUGUAUUACUUGACUUCUACAAAUUAUAGACUAGCCUAUAAUGGGUAUUUUUGACAGCUAUUAGCUUUAAAAAAAUCUGAACAGUAAAAUGAGUAUUGAUAUCACAAUGGUGUACCGUGCAUGUUAAUACCAACCUUCUCUGUACUUUCCUCCUAAAGCAUGAUGUAAUCAUUAAUUAUAAUAAUAUUGAUAUAACUGCACUCAUGUUAAAAACAUAGUAUUGGCAAAGUAUGUAAUUUUCUCGCCUAUAAGAUAAAAAGCAUUAAAUGAAUAUUUACAGUAGAUUUUGAAGACACUGUCCAAGCUUGAAAGAUAAAAAGUGAAUUCAUUUUUGGCAAUAUUUUUCUUAAUCAUGAGAUUAUUAAGUGUAUUUUUAAAACAUGAAUGAGACAAUAAUCAAUGAAUAAUAGAGGUAAUAAUUUUAUUCCUCAGAUUCUUCUUCAAAAUGUUGAACACUGGUAAAAACAUAAUUUAUCAAUAAAUUUUAGAAAUGUUUUCCAUUUCUUAUCAAGAAUUUUAUGCAUCAUUUAGUUCUUAAACCAGUUCUAAUUUUUUAAAUAAAAACACUUGAAAACAUUCUUGCAGGAACAUUGCAUCCCACAGAACAACAAUAAUCCAAUUAUUAAAAUCUAGAAUGGAAACAAUAUUGAUAGAAAUAAAAGUAAAGGGUCAUUUUCUUUACUGUUUCCAUUUGUACCAAUUAAUUCCAGUUCUAUGAAAUAAAAUAUUUGUGGUUAAAUUUAGGGAAAUUCUAUGCAAAUUUAAAGUUUUCUGUGAUAAACAAAUAUAAGGUAAAUAUUUUCCUAGUGUAUUGCAUUGCCAGGGCCUUUUUUUUUUUUUUAAUGUGACUACAGAGAAAGAAAUGGCUUAAUUUCCUACGUCUCCCCUGAAUAAACAGUUCACAGACCCAGACACAUAUGGACACAUACCUCCUACCUGAAAAAUAAAAAAGUUACAAUAUAUCACUAACUUAACAUUAAUUAACACAUCAAUCCAUAGUGUAGCAACUGCCUAGUCUGUGCUACUUUGCCAAGUACUGAUCAGACAGUUCUUACUCACAAUUAUUCCUUAUUAACCGUAUCCUAGAGGUUCAUUCUUCUAUACAUGGCCAGAGCCAAAAUUACCCAGAUACGUGGUCUUUACAAAUUCCCUUGGAUUUAAAUUCAUCCUCCCCUCUCAGGCUAACAGUAGAGAGACAAUUCCUGGGCUAAGUCCCUGCACUCGUUUUCUUUUGUGUUAGGGAUUUGGUUGGAUGAUGAGGACGGGUGGGAAGUUAGAGGGAAACAUAAUACAGUUUUAGUGCAUCUUUCCAAUUCUCAUGUCUUACUUUUAUGUCUCUUAUUCAAAUGAAGUUAGAAGACUAUAAAGUUAAAGAGAUAGAGAAAUAUUUAGAAAUAAAUAUUUAACCAUUGUCUUAAAAGAACAAGAGUAGGAGGGAAGGAAGUAGAAAGAAACAGGUGACAGAGACUUUAUACUUCACUAUGCAUUAGUCACACCCUUUAUACUGGGUCCAAUGGGUACAAUCCAAAGUAGAGAAAAAUGCUCUAGUGUUGGGAUUAAUAGUUUACGUUAAGGUUACCACAAUUGUUUAUGACAAUCUAAGUUAAAAAAAUCUCUUUUAUAUAUUCUUUGCAGCUGAUAUUAUAUUAAACAUUAACACACUUCUUUUUACUGGGUAAGAAAUUUUGAUAGCAUGAGAUUUUGAUUUUUUAAAUAUUUAUUGUAGUCACAAAUUAUUAAAUUACGAACAAAAAUUAUUUAUCUGUUUACACAAUUGAGGCAUUAUAGAUGGAGUUAUCAAACAAGUAUCUCCCCAAAGCAAAACCACUUAUAGUAACAAAAGGAUGAUUUUUAUUUCAAGGGACUUAAAUAAUGUAUUUCUACAUCCUUAAAACUCAUCGAAAAUUGGGUUUAUGGGUUUUUAAUUGGAAAGACUACCAAGUGGUGAACACUAUCUGCUGGGAAGAACCUGUGUCUAUAAUAUUCUUUCAAAAACCCGUGUCAUUCCUGUGUUUACUAUGAAUAAAAUUCAACAUGUAUAUUAUCUGUUUGUGUGGUAUUUACAUAAAAUGUGAAAAUUAUACACAAAAUCACCUGUGAAAAUGCAAUGGAAUUUUGCAUGAUUUUAGUUACUACUUUUGAUUUUUCUAUAGCCUUCACAUUUUACACAAUACAAAUAAGUUUUUAUUUACUUUAUGUAAGCAAU
rnacentral:lncRNA from 1 species